rnacentral:rRNA from 1 species
GACGAACGCUGGCGGCGUGCUUAACACAUGCAAGUCGAACGGAAAGGCCUCUUUCGGGGGGUACUCGAGUGGCGAACGGGUGAGUAACACGUGAGUAACCUGCCCUUGACUUUGGGAUAACUUCAGGAAACUGGGGCUAAUACCGGAUAGGAGCUCCUGCUGCAUGGUGGGGGUUGGAAAGUUUCGGCGGUUGGGGAUGGACUCGCGGCUUAUCAGCUUGUUGGUUGGGUAGUGGCUUACCAAGGCUUUGACGGGUAGCCGGCCUGAGAGGGUGACCGGCCACAUUGGGACUGAGAUACGGCCCAGACGCCUACGGGAGGCAGCAGUGGGGAAUAUUGCACAAUGGGUGGAAGCCUGAUGCAGCAACGCCGUGUGCGGGAUGACGGCCUUCGGGUUGUAAACCGCUUUCGCUCAUGACGAAGCUUUGUGUGACGGUAGUGGGUAAAGAAGCACCGGCUAACUACGUG